rnacentral:rRNA from 1 species
AAAGGAAUUGACGGGGGCCCGCACAAGCGGAGGAACAUGUGGUUUAAUUCGAUGAUACGCGAGGAACCUUACCCGGGCUCGAACGGUGCAUGAAUGUCAGAGAGAUUUGACAGUCCUUCGGGACAUGUAUCGAGGUGCUGCAUGGUUGUCGUCAGCUCGUGCCGUGAGGUGUCGGCUUAAGUGCCAUAACGAGCGCAACCCUUGUUGACAGUUACCAUCAGGUAAAGCUGGGGACUCUGUCGAGACUGCCACCGUAAGGUGUGAGGAAGGGGGGGAUGACGUCAAAUCAGCACGGCCCUUAUGUCCGGGGCGACACACGUGUUACAAUGGGAGGUACAGAGGGCAGCUAUCCAGUGAUGGAGUGCAAAUCUCAAAAACCUUUCUCAGUUCGGAUUGGAGUCUGCAACUCGACUCCAUGAAGUUGGAUUCGCUAGUAAUCGCGCAUCAGCCAUGGCGCGGUGAAUACGUUCCCGGGCCUUGUACACACCGCCCGU